UACAGAGGGGGCAAGCGUUGUUCGGAAUUACUGGGCGUAAAGGGCGCGUAGGCGGCCUGUUAAGUCGAACGUGAAAUCCCCGGGCUCAACCCGGGAACUGCGUCCGAUACUGGCAGGCUUGAAUUCGGGAGAGGGAUGCGGAAUUCCAGGUGUAGCGGUGAAAUGCGUAGAUAUCUGGAGGAAUACCCGUGGCGAAGGCGGCAUCCUGGACCGGCAUUGACGCUGAUGAGCGAAAGCUAGGGGAGCAAACGGG
rnacentral:rRNA from 1 species